CAUUAGAUACCCUGGUAGUCCACGCCGUAAACGAUGGUCACUAGCUGUUCGAACUUCGGUUUGAGUGGCUAAGAGAAAUUGAUAAGUGACCCACCUGGGGAGUACGUUCGCAAGAAUGAAACUCAAAGGAAUUGACGGGGGUCCGCACAAGCGGUGGAGCAUGUGGAUUAAUUCGAUGCAACGCGAAGAACCUUACCAAG
rnacentral:rRNA from 1 species